GCAUAUCAAUAAGCGGAGGAAAAGAAACUAACAAGGAUUCCCCUAGUAACGGCGAGUGAAGCUGGGAAGAGCACAAAUUUUAAAUCUACCUGGUUUCCAGGUCUGAGUUGUAAUUUGAAGAAACGUUUUUUACUGUUCCGGGUUGGAUUAAAUCCUUUGGGAUAAGGUAUCAUGGAGGGUGAGAAUCCCGUGUAUACCAACCACUGGAAUGUUAUUAAUACGUUUUCUAAGAGUCGAGUUGUUUGGGAAUGCAGCUCUAAAUGGGUGGUAAAUUUCACCUAAUGCUAAAUAUAAGCGAGAGACCGAUAGUGAACAAGUACCGUGAGGGAAAGAUGAAAAGAACUUUGAAAAGAGAGUUAAAUAGUACGUGAAAUUGUUGAAAGGGAAACGGUUGAAGUCAGUCAUGCCGGCGGGAAUCAACUUAGGGGAAACUCUAAGUGCACUUCUUCGCUUGGCAGGUUAGCGUCGAUUUUGGAUGUCAUAAAAUGACUGGGGGAAGGUAGCUCCUUCGGGAGUGUUAAGCCCUUGGUAGAUGUGAUGUUCGGGAUCGAGGAUUGCAACGGAUACCCUUUGGGUUAGCCACCUGGUCUCUAAUACGAAGUUGGGUUAUAGAUAGCAUGCUAACUAUGAUCUGAUUUUCGGUUAAAAGAUUAGAGUGAGUGUAAACUCGUUAAGGACGCUGACGUAAUGGCUUUAAACGAC
rnacentral:rRNA from 1 species